rnacentral:rRNA from 1 species
GACGGGGGGGCAAGUGUUCUUCGGAAUGACUGGGCGUAAAGGGCACGGAGGCGGUGAAUCGGGUUGAAAGUGAAAGUCGCCAAAAAGUGGCGGAAUGCUCUCGAAACCAAUUCACUUGAGUGAGACAGAGGAGAGUGGAAUUUCGUGUGUAGGGGUGAAAUCCGUAAAUAUACGAAGGAACGCCAAAAGCGAAGGCAGCUCUCUGGGUCCCUACCGACGCUGGGGUGCGAAAGCAUGGGGAGCGAACAGG